rnacentral:rRNA from 1 species
AACGAACGCUGGCGGCGUGCCUAACACAUGCAAGUCGAACGUGAAAGGGAGCAAUCCUGAGUAAAGUGGCGUACGGGUGAGUAACACGUAGGUAAUCUACCUGAGAGUCUGGAAUAACCUGCCGAAAGGCGGGCUAAUACUGGAUAGAGCGAGGGAACUCGUGAAGGGUUUUUCGGGAAAGGGAGCCUGUAAGGGCCUCCGCUCUGAGAUGAGCCUGCGUCCCAUUAGCUAGUUGGCGAGGUAACGGCUCACCAAGGCUGUGAUGGGUAGCUGGUCUGAGAGGAUGAUCAGCCACACUGGAACUGAAACACGGUCCAGACUCCUACGGGAGGCAGCAGUGGGGAAUAUUGGACAAUGGGGGGAACCCUGAUCCAGCCAUGCCGCGUGUGUGAAGAAGGCCUUAUGGUUGUAAAGCACUUUAAGCGAGGAGGAGGCUACUUUAGUUAAUACCUAGAGAUAGUGGACGUUACUCGCAGAAUAAGCACCGGCUAACUCUGUGCCAGCCGCCGCAGUAA